ACACCGGCAACUCAAGUGGUAGCCGCUUUUAUUGGGCCUAAAGCGUCCGUAGCCGGUCUGAUAAGUCUCUGGUGAAAUCCCACAGCUUAACUGUGGGAAUUGCUGGAGAUACUAUCAUGACUCGAGGUCGGGAGAGGCUGGAGGUACUCCCCGGGUAGGGGUGAAAUCCUGUAAUCCUGGGAGGACCACCUGUGGCGAAGGCGUCCAGCUGGAACGAACCUGACGGUGAGGGACGAAAGCCAGGGGCGCGAACCGGAUUAGAUACCCGGGUAGUCCUGGCCGUAAACGAUGUGGACUUGGUGUUGGGAUGGCUUCGAGCUGCCCCAGUGCCGAAGGGAAGCUGUUAAGUCCACCGCCUGGGAAGUACGGCCGCAAGGCUGAAACUUAAAUGAAUUGGCGGGG
rnacentral:rRNA from 1 species